rnacentral:rRNA from 1 species
AAUAGAUACCCGGGUAGUCCACGCCGUAAACGAUGAGUGCUAAGUGUUAGGGGGUUUCCGCCCCUUAGUGCUGCAGCUAACGCAUUAAGCACUCCGCCUGGGGAGUACGGUCGCAAGACUGAAACUCAAAGGAAUUGACGGGGGCCCGCACAAGCGGUGGAGCAUGUGGUUUAAUUCGAAGCAACGCGAAGAACCUUACCAGGUCUUGACAUCCCAUUGACCACUAUGGAGACAUAGUUUUCCCUUCGGGGACAACGGUGACAGGUGGUGCAUGGUUGUCGUCAGCUCGUGUCGUGAGAUGUUGGGUUAAGUCCCGCAACGAGCGCAACCCUUGUUCUUAGUUGCCAUCAUUUAGUUGGGCACUCUAAGGAGACUGCCGGUGACAAACCGGAGGAAGGUGGGGAUGACGUCAAAUCAUCAUGCCCCUUAUGACCUAGGCUACACACGUGCUACAAUGGACGGUACAAACGGUUGCCAACCCGCGAGGGGGAGCUAAUCCGAUAAAACCGUUCUCAGUUCGGAUUGUAGGCUGCAACUCGCCUACAUGAAGCC